GACGAACGCUGGCGGCGUGCUUAACACAUGCAAGUCGAACGAAGUGGCGAACGGGUGAGUAACGCGUAAUCAACCUGCCCUUCAGAGGGGGACAACAGUUGGAAACGACUGCUAAUACCGCAUACUGAAGGAGGGGAUUGCGUCUGCUUAGCUAGUUGGGGGGGUAACGGCCCACCAAGGCGAUGAUCAGUAGCCGGUCUGGGGGGGUGGACGGCCACAUUGGGACUGAAACACGGCCCAGACUCCUACGGGGAGCAGCAGUGGGGAAUCUUCCGAAAUGGAGGAAAGUCUGACGGAGCAACGCCGCGUGAGUGAUGACGGCCUUCGGGUUGUAAAGCUCUGUUAAUCGGGACGCGGUACCGGAAUAGAAAGCCACGGCUAACUACGUGCCAGCAGCCGCGGUAAUUC
rnacentral:rRNA from 1 species